rnacentral:misc_RNA from 1 species
GUGUUUUUUUUAUUGAUUGGGAUUUAGUAAUUAAGUGACAGAGAGCAUACGAGUGGAUAAGGUAACAGACAGAGGAUUCCUCUUUAAAAAGGAUGAUAUACUAAACUCUAGGGAUGGGCUUGCCUCAAGUAUCCUCUGGCGGCAUUGCUGAGGAAGUGGCAGUAUCUCUGAGCACAUUGGUGCCAACUCCACCCCGGAUUGUUGGUGUAAGCAGCUGUGAUUUGAGUGGGAUGCAAGGAGCAAAUCUUGGCAAUAGAAUGCAUAUGGAUUUUCAAUGCUCUUCUUCUGGAGAUGUC